CUCUCUGCCUCUCUCUCUCUCUGCAUAUGAGAUAUCCCACUAGACACAGAUGUCAGUUCAACAUUUAGUUUUGACUCACAUUUGGUUGAGUUGUCAACUAAAGUAAAUUUCACAUGAAAAUAAACCUUCAGACAUAGUUACCAGACCCGGACUCAGGGAUGGCUAACCCUGGAGAUCCCUUGAAUCUCCACCGAGGUGGUCCACCUUCCCUGUGGCCGAUCUGGUUACUCUAUUGACAGUGGACAGGACAUGGACGUCUCGUUUGUCAUGCCACUUUACUGCCAGCUGUUGACCAUUCUCCUUGAACUCCACCUCCCCUCUCUGCAUCUUCCUGCAUCCGAAUGCCGGCAUCCCCUUCCUGUUCGACCUUACUGUGCCACAGGUCCCUGUGCUGUUGGAGAGCAGAUGCUGGAAGAGUGUGGGACUGCUGUACCAAUUGUCCACAUACAAGGUGUGUCCCUUGCCGAGAUGAGGAGCCAGCAUGGUCAUCACUACAGACCUGGACACCCCAAGCCCCUCAUAAUGUUGGAUGUCAGUGGUGGACCCUGUGUAAACUAUAAUGUCAUGGACAAAUCCUGUCUUCACGUCAUACAUAACAAAGAACUUGACCCCAAACCUGUGUCUUUUGGAGGGAAUAUAUUGACGGAAUGCCAGCCUACCUUUCCAUAACAUCAGGAACUCAUCAAUGCAUAGGUCCUUGUAUGGCACAAAGACCCGACCAAAUGCUGAUGUCAGGCUGGUAAGAAUAUUUCUUAUUUUGUAUAACGGGUCAUUAAGGAUGGCAGUAGCAUUGUUGCAGGCAUCGCAGCAGAACUUGGAAGCGGUCUUGGGAAAAGAGGGUGGCAAAGAAGGGAGUUGCAAACACAGGAUCUGUGCACCAGUAUUUUCUUAGGGAGUUUCUUUACUAUCCCCAUGAGAAGGACUGUCAUCAGGAAGGUAUACACUUCACCAAUUGUGGUUGUCAUCCAUUUAGCGAGUUUCCCCCCCACUCCUGGCUCUCUUUCUCCUGUAGCUCCAAGGCAUAGAGAUUGGUCUCAUCUACUAUGUCUCCCACCAGCUCCUCUGUCAGAAACAACUUGAAGCACUCUGCCUCAGUUGGAAAUGGCAAGGGGCGUUGCACUCCAGACUGGGACUCAUCAAAGCAAACAGCAGGGCCAGGAGGGGUGAAAUGGCUGGUGGCCUUCCAGACACCACAGAACUCCUGUACUUCAUCCACUGUCUGUCUGCCUCCAUCACCAACAGCAACGUCAAAAGGACCUGGGACUUCAUCAGUGGACAAGGGGUCCUCAGAUUCAGGGUUCUCAAAGGCUACAAGGUUGGGGGGCAGCUCCUCACUGUCACUGUCAGAAUAUGAUUCCUUGACUUUCAUAUUCAGACUCAUUGUCUGAAUUGUAAAAAAUCUCUAGAAUUUCCACAUUUGUGAGUUGUCUCCUUUUGAAAGACAUUGCUAAUGCUACAGCUUAUCUCACUAGCUACAUACAUAAACAACAACACUGAACGAGUCAGAGUGGGAGUGAGAGGUUACGUGAUUGACUGCUGGCACGUGCCAGGUGUAUCAAUAAAUUACUUUCAGAAAAUGUUUUGUGUGGUAAUUAUUUAUAUAUUUACUGUUUUAUUCACGUUUUCAAUUACCGGUGACAAAUCAUGCAUUCUGAUUCUUGCAUAGAUUGUAAUGGGCACAUAUU
rnacentral:lncRNA from 1 species